GCCAGUGUUUUGUAGUGGGUUUGAGCAUCAGACUAUCCGACUCUAAAGACCAGGGUUCGAAUCCCCGCUUGGGCA